CCCGCUGAACUUAAGCAUAUCAAUAAGCGGAGGAAAAGAAACUAACAAGGAUUCCCCUAGUAACGGCGAGUGAAGCGGGAAUAGCUCAAAUUUGAAAUCUCACUGGUUUCCAGUGCGAAUUGUAGUUUAGAGAAGCGGUUUCUGGGCAGCACUUUGGUACAAGUUCUUUGGAACGAGACAUCAUAGAGGGUGAAAAUCCCGUCUUUGACCAGAGUUGUUGUUCUAUGUGAUACGUUUUCCAAGAGUCGGUUUGUUUGGGAAUGCAGACCAAAAUGGGUGGUAAAUACCAUCUAAAGCUAAAUAUUGGCGAGAGACCGAUAGCGAACAAGUACCGUGAGGGAAAGAUGAAAAGAACUUUGAAAAGAGAGUUAAAUAGUGCGUGAAAUUGUCUAAAGGGAAACGUUUGAAACCAGUAUUACUGGCUGGGACUCAGCUCUAGUUUACUAGGGUGUAUUUCUCAGUUGGUGAGUCAACAUCAGUUUGAUUUGUAGUAAAAAGCUGUGAGAAGAUAGCCAUUUCGGUGGUAUUAUAGAUUGCAGUCAUGCUAUGGAUUGGACUGAGGUCUGCAGCGUUAUUUGGAGAACUAGUCGCCUUUCGAAGUAGCAAGGUUAAAUGCAUGCAGAUGACUUUGUUUAUUAGGGAGCUCGGUUAGGUUAUCACACCAGCGCUUAGGAUGUUGACGAAAUGGUUUUAAGCGACCCGUCUUGAAACACGG
rnacentral:rRNA from 1 species